rnacentral:rRNA from 1 species
AGUGGACGCUGGCGGUAGGCCUAACACAUGCAAGUCGAACGGCAGCACAGUAAGAGCUUGCUCUUACGGGUGGCGAGUGGCGGACGGGUGAGGAAUACAUCGGAAUCUACUUUUUCGUGGGGGAUAACGUAGGGAAACUUACGCUAAUACCGCAUACGACCUACGGGUGAAAGCAGGGGAUCUUCGGACCUUGCGCGAUUGAAUGAGCCGAUGUCGGAUUAGCUAGUUGGCGGGGUAAAGGCCCACCAAGGCGACGAUCCGUAGCUGGUCUGAGAGGAUGAUCAGCCACACUGGAACUGAGACACGGUCCAGACUCCUACGGGAGGCAGCAGUGGGGAAUAUUGGACAAUGGGCGCAAGCCUGAUCCAGCCAUACCGCGUGGGUGAAGAAGGCCUGCGGGUUGUAAAGCCCUUUUGUUGGGAAAGAAAAGCAGCAGGUUAAUACCCCGCUGUUCUGACGGUACCCAAAGAAUAAGCACCGGCUAACUUCGU